rnacentral:rRNA from 1 species
CAGGCUUAACACAUGCAAGUCGAGGGGCAGCAUGGUCUUAGCUUGCUAAGGCCGAUGGCGACCGGCGCACGGGUGAGUAACACGUAUCCAACCUGCCGUCUACUCUUGGACAGCCUUCUGAAAGGAAGAUUAAUACAAGAUGGCAUCAUGAGUCCGCAUGUUCACAUGAUUAAAGGUAUUCCGGUAGACGAUGGGGAUGCGUUCCAUUAGAUAGUAGGCGGGGUAACGGCCCACCUAGUCUUCGAUGGAUAGGGGUUCUGAGAGGAAGGUCCCCCACAUUGGAACUGAGACACGGUCCAAACUCCUACGGGAGGCAGCAGUGAGGAAUAUUGGUCAAUGGGCGAGAGCCUGAACCAGCCAAGUAGCGUGAAGGAUGACUGCCCUAUGGGUUGUAAACUUCUUUUAUAAAGGAAUAAAGUCGGGUAUGCAUACCCGUUUGCAUGUACUUUAUGAAUAAGGAUCGGCUAACUCCGUGCCAGCAGCCGCGGUAAUACGGAGGAUCCGAGCGUUAUCCGGAUUUAUUGGGUUUAAAGGGAGCGUAGAUGGAUGUUUAAGUCAGUUGUGAAAGUUUGCGGCUCAACCGUAAAAUUGCAGUUGAUACUGGAUAUCUUGAGUGCAGUUGAGGCAGGCGGAAUUCGUGGUGUAGCGGUGAAAUGCUUAGAUAUCACGAAGAACUCCGAUUGCGAAGGCAGCCUGCUAAGCUGCAACUGACAUUGAGGCUCGAAAGUGUGGGUAUCAAACAGGAUUAGAUACCCUGGUAGUCCACACGGUAAACGAUGAAUACUCGCUGUUUGCGAUAUACGGCAAGCGGCCAAGCGAAAGCGUUAAGUAUUCCACCUGGGGAGUACGCCGGCAACGGUGAAACUCAAAGGAAUUGACGGGGGCCCGCACAAGCGGAGGAACAUGUGGUUUAAUUCGAUGAUACGCGAGGAACCUUACCCGGGCUUAAAUUGCAGAUGAAUUACGGUGAAAGCCGUAAGCCGCAAGGCAUCUGUGAAGGUGCUGCAUGGUUGUCGUCAGCUCGUGCCGUGAGGUGUCGGCUUAAGUGCCAUAACGAGCGCAACCCUUGUUGUCAGUUACUAACAGGUUCCGCUGAGGACUCUGACAAGACUGCCAUCGUAAGAUGUGAGGAAGGUGGGGAUGACGUCAAAUCAGCACGGCCCUUACGUCCGGGGCUACACACGUGUUACAAUGGGGGGUACAGAGGGCCGCUACCACGCGAGUGGAUGCCAAUCCCAAAAACCUCUCUCAGUUCGGACUGGAGUCUGCAACCCGACUCCACGAAGCUGGAUUCGCUAGUAAUCGCGCAUCAGCCACGGCGCGGUGAAUACGUUCCCGGGCCUUGUACACACCGCCCGUCAAGCCAUGGGAGCCGGGGGUACCUGAAGUGCGUAACCGCGAGGAGCGCCCUAGGGUAAAACUGGUGACUGGGGCUAAGUCGUA